GCACUAGUAGCUCAAUUGGAUAGAGCGUUCGGCUACGGACCGAAAGGUUGGGAGUUCGAGCCUUCUCUGGUGCA
rnacentral:tRNA from 3 species